rnacentral:piRNA from 1 species
UCUUUCGGUAUUAUUUUUAGC